rnacentral:rRNA from 1 species
AAGCUCGUAGUUGAAUUUCGGGGUUAGUAGGUUGGUCAUGCCUCUGGUAUGUACUGGUCUCACUGAUUCCUCCUUCCUUAUGAACCGUAAUGCCAUUAAUUUGGUGUUGCGGGGAAUUUGGACUGUUACUUUGAAAAAAUUAGAGUGUUUAAAGCAAGCUAACGCUUGAAUACAUUAGCAUGGAAUAACGAAAUAGGACGUUCGAUCUUAUUUUGUUGGUUUCUUAGGAUUGACGUAAUGAUUAAUAGGGAUAGUUGGG